rnacentral:rRNA from 1 species
AUGGACAGCCACGGUGAUAUGUGCUACUACACCGCCGGCUGCAUGGGCGCCGCGGCCGACCCCUCCUCCUCCCUCUCGUCCUGGGACUCAUUUCCACCCGACUUGAGUUCGUCCUGGGACUCAUUUCCAUCCGACUUGAGUUCGUCCUGGGACUCAUUUCCAUCCGACUUGAGUAGCGGCGAGAUGAUCGACACGGAAACAAGGAGUCAGCGCAAGAAGCCGGCAGCCCCGGUGUUCAUCGGCGUGCGCGCGCGGCCGUGGGGACGGUUUGCGGCGGAGAUCCGGGACUCGACGCGAGGCGGCGCGCGGGUGUGGUUAGGCACGUUCGCCACGGCCGAGGCCGCCGCCAUGGCAUACGACCAGGCGGCGCUCUCCUCGCGGGGCGCGGCCACGGCGCUCAACUUCCCCCUCGAGCACGUCCAGGAGUCACUCCAGGCACUAGGCGCGACCGCAACAGGCAUGGGCGGAUCGCCCGUUCUGGCGCUCAAACGGCGCCACUCCAAGAGAAAGAGGCGCAGCAAGGCCGAGAUGGCCAACGAUGCCGCGGUAGGCACGAGGAAGAAGAACAAGACGAUGGCCACGUGCACGCAGGAGCGGUUCAUCGUGGAGCUGGAGGACCUCGGCGUCGACUACCUGGAUGAGCUUCUCAGGAUCACGUGUAAUACAGCUUAG